UGGGGAAUAUUGGACAAUGGGCGAAAGCCUGAUCCAGCAAUACCGAGUGAGUGAUGAAGACCCUAGGGUUGUAAAGCUCUUUUAGCAAGGAAGAUAAUGACGUUACUUGCAGAAAAAGCCCCGGCUAACUCCGUGCCAGCAGCCGCGGUAAGACGGAGGGGGCUAGCGUUGUUCGGAAUUACUGGGCGUAAAGAGUGCGUAGGCGGUUUAGUAAGUUGGAAGUGAAAGCCCGGGGCUUAACCUCGGAAUUGCUUUCAAAACUACUAAUCUAGAGUGUAGUAGGGGAUGAUGGAAUUCCUAGUGUAGAGGUGAAAUUCUUAGAUAUUAGGAGGAACACCGGUGGCGAAGGCGGUCAUCUGGGCUACAACUGACGCUGAUGCACGAAAGCGUGGGGAGCAAACAG
rnacentral:rRNA from 1 species